AACGCACGAGACCUGCGGACCUGCGGAGGGAUCAUUACCGAGUAUAGUUUCUCUCUUUUUGAGAAAACUUUUCUCCACCCUUGUGAAAAUAUAAAAUGUUUUUCUUUAUCUUUGGCAAAGCGAUCUUUGAUUUGAAAUAUAAUCAAAACCACUGGCAAAGGGAAAAUAAAGAUUAUCUUACCUGUAAAAAGGGAAAGUUUAUCCCUAAUUCCUAGCGAGUGUGUCUUUGCCAAAGUAUUU
rnacentral:misc_RNA from 1 species